GGCCAUGUGAGGACACAGAGAAAGCACCAUCUGUGAGAAACAGGCCUUCACUAGAUACUGAACUUGCCAGCACCUUGACUUGGGACUUCCCAGUUUCCAAAACUGUGAGAAAUAAAUUUUUUAUGAUUUACCCAGUCUAAGAUAUUUUGUGACAGCAGCAGGAAUGGACUAACAUACUGGGUCUAGCAAAGAGUUCUCAAGAGAUGGGGCCUGGAUGUGUUGCUUAGGCUGUGUGAAACUCCUGGUCUUAAGCGAUCCUCUCACCCUGGCCUCCCAAAGCACUGGGAUUACAGGGAGAAAAGAAUGGGAACUGUGAGGAAAAGAAUGACAUGAACAAUGGGAAGACCAAGGUCCCAGCACAAGUAGUAGAUGCUGAGGAAGAGAAGAAGUAUGUUGUGGAGUAAGUGAGUGGGCCUGAGUUGAGAAGAUCCUGGCCUUGGAUUUUUAAGGCCUAAGAUUUUUAAACUGUCAAGAAUUGCAUAAAUUCGCUAGAAUCAGAAGUCAGUUGUCCUGAUCUCAGAACAAUUUGGUGUGUACAAAGUCCAAGGUUUGAAAACUCAUCAAGAAGUCAGCAUCCUGCAAGAAUCAGCCACCCAUGCCACACUUUCUAUAGUAACUUCUGUUCUGCAUCAGACUACAUCACUCUGGCUUUCUGAGGGCACUAUUCCAGGCCAGUGCUCUGGGAGGAAUUACCCAGAAUCCCUGUAGAAGCCACUACUGAUGUCAGCUACAAGAGGAAAGGAACCCAAGUGGACUUCAGCCAGAACAAAGCUCUGUCACAUGUUGGAAGUUUACUGAACUUGAACAAAAUAUUCUUCAGAAAAAAAUAUUUUAAAGUCAAAAGAUUCCUAGGUGAUUUCUAGGUCUUUUGCAGCAUUAACUUCCUUUGAAUCAAUGCCUUCAAUGAUUAUUUAAAAGAAAAGAAAGAAAAAAUCAGAAAGUAAAGAAAUGGAUUUAGCUAGUAACCUUUAAAGAAAGCCCACUUUCAUUCAUUUUUCUUCAAAGAUUUAUGUGAUUUUUUUCUUAUCUUGAUGUAUAAUAAUAAAAAUUAGCUGCAAAAAGCUACAAGAAAGGUUGCAUAAGUGCAUACAUUUUUUUAGAGUUCUGCUUCCUGUGGUAGUUCUUCACUUUUAAUGAUGAGUUGCUGAAGCAGGCACUCAUUCUUUUAUUGCAUCAUUUAUUCUUAUCAUCUGGGGAAGUAACAAUGACAAGCUUUCCUAAGUAGUAGCCCAACUCUUUAUUUGUGGCUCCUUUUCCUAUGUCAAUAUUAGGAUCAUUCUGUCAACGAAGAGGUCCUAUUACCUAGGAAACCAUGAAAGGUAAGACCUGUGCUCACAGGUGCUUACAUGCAUGCAAAUGUAAAAGGAAUACUUAAACCCUCACCUAACUUCUUUGGAAGUUUCAGUACGCAGUUAUUGUUGAUAGGCAGUUAAGGUGCAUGUGUUAGUGUAGUAUGUGUUUUUGUAAGAAAAAAAGUAGAGGAAAUGGGAGAUAAUUUAGUGUGCUGGAAAGUUAUAGAAUUUGAUAUCUUGUUUUGCAUAGAUGAUGCAUUGUAGGAGUGACAUUAUUGUGAAACUUUGUUCAGUCGGUUUUCCUUCAAGCGAUUUUGGUGCAGUUUUUCCAAUCCAGUGUUAAGGGCAUGACAAUGUAUUUUUCACAAGCUUGUCUAAGAGGAAACUCUGACAGAUUAUGAUGAGGAAAACUAAAUCCACUCAUGUCAUGUAAACACAUAGAAGACUUCUCAGUGGGGUCUCUGCCUUGUACCUCAGAUGCCAAGGGGGAGUUUGAGAUUUGUCAAGUUGUUGACAACUGCCUUAGUCCAUUUCGUGCUGCCAUAAGAGAAUGACACGGAUUUGGUAAUUUAUAAUGAACAAAUUUACUUCUUGAGGCUGGGAAAUCCAAGGUUGAGGUGCCAGCAUCUGGUAAAGGCUUUCUUAUUGUGCCAUCGUAUGGUGGAAAGCAGAAUGUCAAGAGAGAAGGAGGAAACCAAAUUUACCCUUUUAUAAAGUCACCCAUUCCACAUGUAAGGGUGAAGCCGUCAUGGCCUGCCAGCUCUUAAAGACUCCACCUCUUGAUACUGUCACAAUAGCAAUUGCAUUUCAGCAUGAGUUCUGGAAGGGACAGUUUCCAAACCAGAGGAGCAAUUGCCUAUCAAAGGAUGCGAGAAAGAGGUAUUUUACUAUUAUUCGAGCUACCAUUUUUAGCUUUAUCCAUACUUUUAGAAAUAGGUGUUUUAUUGAACUCAAAUUUUCCAGUUUGAGAAUGUCAUAAUUUUCUAUUAGGAGUCUGGCUGAUCUAGUCAUUAAAAAAGGCACAUAAUAAAUGUAUAAGCAUGUUUUUAAAUGGACAGUUUAUAAGUUAAUUAAUAAUAUUAGUGUUAAUUAUUACUGUUACCACUAAAUAAACCACUACAUUUUACGUUCUUUCAACAAUCUGAAAAAAUAUUUUGUAAAAAAUUACUGUAAUGCAAAAUUUGGCUUAGUUAGCAACAGAGAGGGUAAAUAUCUGCCUUAAAGAUCACAAUGUCUGAUGGCUAUGAAACAGAUGAGAAGUUUUGAGAAGAUGACAUCAAUAUGGUGUUGAUUGGUUUCAUGUGGCUUUGAGCUUUUCUGCCGCUGGGAAGAUCACUACUGUACAUAGUUUACAUAUGAUUCAUGUGUGAUGCCAGAUUGCAGCUUCCUUCUUGCUGUAUCUUAAGUGUACUUGGUAUUCUGAUUCAAGAGUGAGAUCUUGAAGCUUUGGCAAAUAGAAUUGCCUAAUUUUCAUUUGUCCACUAAGCAAUGCAUGCAGUUAAAAAAAUGAAAACAAUACCAAACCUCCUUCUUUUUGCAGUGAAGGAGCCCAAAACAAAUUACUCUCUUUCCGUCUCUCUCUUUAACUUAGGAUAUUGGUUAUUUUGUAUUCUCACACAUGUAAAAUUCCUUUCCUUUAAUGCAUAUGUUCUCAAUAAAAAAGAAUUUUUCACUGAAUUUCCAGGAAGACUCAACAUAAUUUAAAGAUGGCACCUUACAAAAAGAACUCUCAAUAGACAAGAAGAGGAAGCAGUAAUAAACAAUUAUUUUCAAGACAGAGUUACCUAAAAUCUUUCCUUGGUUUCUUACUGGCUAGAGGACACUUUUCAAACUCUUUGGUUUCACUUUGACAAACUUGCUUCUUGCAAUUCUCCUAAGGUUGUGUGUAUACAACCACGUGGGAUGUGCUGAAUUUAGUCUGCUACAAUGUAAUAGUCUCUUCUCUAUACAUAAAAUUAGAUUUCUAAAAUCCCUAUGUGAGAAACUUAUAAUCCCGCCAGGGAAAAGUAGGAUUGGGGAAAUGAGAUAAUUAGUUAAUCUCUCAAAAAUCUGAUGAACAUAGUUUAUGUUUUCUAAAAUAGAGCCAUGAAAACAGCCCACAAAGUAAUGAGAAUGUCAAUAUCUCACAUGUUCCUUCAUUUGGUAAUUAUUAGCAUGGAAUGGAUAUAUAUUAAUUUAUCAUUCUUUGAUCACCAGUGACUUUUCAAUAUCUCUGUUCUCCUUUUUCCAUAUUUUAAAUACAGAACUUAUACAUUUGUUUUGUUUGAUGGUGUUAAUCUACAGUGCAGAAAAGUCCCUGUGUUUGUCCACUGUCUAAUUUCCGAAGCCUCUCUGAUUUUAUGAUUUUAAUUUACCUUUUAUCAGUGUGGUUUCACCGCAUUUCUGCAGACACUCAUGUGGAUGCCUGAGCUGGAAAACUAACCUCAGGUAGUCUUUAUUUCUCAACUUGCAUUCCCCAGUGCAGGGCCCAAUGGUGCCAAUUCUGAACAUAGUAAAUUUACAAGAAAGCCCUUCCUCACCUAUAACUCCAGGGAUGUUUUCACCCAUAAACCAAAACACUCAAUUGCAAGGUUUGGGGAUAAUCUUCUCCCAGCUCUCUUUCUCUCUCCUACAGUUUCAUUGCAUUGCCUCAUCUCUCUUUGAUCUUUUCCCUUAUGAGUUAUUUCAGCUUCCUUUUCUUAACUUCUAGUUUCCUAUUUCUCUAAUAAUCUAAGGCAGGAAGAAGUGUAAAUUCAUGUGCAUGGAAACUAAAAUUUCCCCAAGGAUAUAAUGUACAGGGUAAAUCCAUCUUCACUAGAAUUUUAGAACUUGAGAUCGGGCAUGUGUGAUUAUUCUACACAUUUUUAAUGGGUCUCUGUGCUUUCAUAUGUGACUUUGCCUCUUCCAAAAACAGUCUUUGUGUUCUUCACCAUCUGGGAAAUGUGUUUUCAUCCCUGUAAACCCAAAUCGAAUGCCAUUUCCUCUAUGGAAACUUGUCCAGCUUCAUCAGGCAGAAUAAUUAGCUCCUCUGUAGGCAAAUAACUCCUUGGUCUAUUUUUGCCAAAGCAAGAACAUCUUAUUUUCCAUACCUACUAUGUGCUUGGCAUUGUAUCAGUACACAUUUCUAUUAGUGCAUUCUAGCAGUACAUAUUUUCAGGCCUAUCUUAUGUGAUUGGCUUUGAGCAUUUCCAGAGCAAGGAUAUUUUUGCUUCUUAUACCUACCUCAGGAUUUAACAUAGUGGUGUCUGGCAUAACUAGACAUGGUAAGAAUAAAUGUUUGUUGAAUGAAUGAUGUGUGAAUAUUUGAAUGAGCAUAUUAUAUGAGUUGGUAAGACUAUUCAGUUGCUGGAUGUCAAAACUAAUUAACUGAAUGUAUUUUUAUCUUUGGCUUUUUAUUAGCUUGGUUGCAAAUUCUGUGACAACAGAAUCUGUGUCUUUCAUUCUCAUCUUUACACCCCCAGUUCCAGGUACCUGGUGCCCAACAGGCAUUACUGGAUAUCUGUAGAAUUUAUGAUUAAAGAAUAAAAGGAUAACAGUGUGGGAUGAAAAUAAUUCAAUCUUUGACCUUUUUUUUUUUUAUAGAGACGAGCACAUUAAAUUUGAUUUUUUUUUUUAGCCCUAAGCAGCAUCAUAGUUCUGUAUCACUUUUAUAAGCAGAUAGACAUGGAAAAGGUAAAAGUAAGGACAGAGGAUGGAGGCAUAACCUAUUCAGAGUCAAUCAUAUGACUUUUGUCUGAAAAAUUUGUACAUAAAAAAAUGAAUGGUUUGAAACAAAAGCGAACUAUUGGAUGGAAGUAAUUUGCACAUUUAAAACCUGUCUCGCAACCAAGUGCAUCAGUUGAUUCUCUGGCAAACUAUUGCUUUGCCUUUUCUUAUCCAAUAUUUGUUUGUUUUUGAAGGAAAAAAGGUAUGAGACUGAGAGGUAAAAUAUAUGUAUUUUUUCACCAUGAAUACUUGUCUUUAUGCAUUUUGUUAAAAUUGUAGUAAUUGAUAAUAUGUAAGCCUCUUUUGUAAUGGUGAUUUUUUUGUUAUGCUAUCUACAGAUACAAAUAGUGCAUGUGUUAAGGAAACUCAUGCACAAACAAAACAGCACAUGCUGUACUCACAGCCAGUUACACAGAAUGCUCAUGCAUGCAUCUGUUGCUUAUUAAUUUUCUUCCUGCUGUUUACAUCAUUCUUUUGAAGAAUCUCCAGCAAGCUUUGUGCUUUGCCCAAUUGUUUAUAAUGUCUAUAAAUCAGGGGCUUGGACCAAAUGAAAUGUCUUAGUAGUGUUUGCAAAAUAUUUGGAUAUUCUGAUUGUGUUUUAUUUUCCCAGCUUUAGAAAACAUAUAGAUUAACCUCUGAUGGGAACUUAUAUUCUAGUUACUUCUUGUAUCUUUUCUUUUUUCGGGAAUUGGUCACUCUUUCAGCCAACUCGUAGGUUCAAACAAUGUUUGCAUGUAUUGCUCAGUUUGUUUUAACUUCCUGCUGUAAACAUUGACAGUUUUUUCUUCCUAAGAGUCUUAUGAAUAGGCAACACACAGAAGACAGAAACAAAAACAGGCAAAGUCCCAAUCUGUUAACUACGUACUUAGAAAUCAGGUGAAAGUGCUUGGUGAACAGUCUAUGUUUUAGCAACUGUUUUUUAACAUUCGGUUGUGACAUUUUUUAACAACAGCCAUAGUUCAAUCAUUAAACCAUGUUUGGAUUUGAGGUCUGAAUGAGCUGAAUUCAAAAUAUGGGACUUUUUAUUAGAAACCCUGGUAAAGUGGACACUGGGGAAAAAGCCCAAGAUUUCAUGUGUUUGAUUUAUUGACUAUGUGCGUCAACAGCCUGCUUUUAAUUCUCAGAGUAAAAUAAAAAUACUCAGAAUCUAA
rnacentral:lncRNA from 1 species